CUUUUAAACUGGUUUGGGAAAACCAAAUAUAUUAUAUAUUUUGCUUUGUUCAAAAUAAGGUUUUCUAAUAAAUUAUGUUUUUAUCAGAUAUGACAGAAUCUUUUUUAAAAUCUCUUCAAUAUGCUUUUAUUGCUUUUGAGAGGUUUUGUUACUUUGAGUAAAAUUAAGUGUUCAUAACAGACGGGUAGUCAUGAUUGAGUUCAUUGUGUA
rnacentral:rRNA from 1 species